UACGGAGGGUGCAAGCGUUAAUCGGAAUUACUGGGCGUAAAGGGCACGCAGGCGGAUUUUUAAGUGAGGUGUGAAAUCCCCGGGCUUAACCUGGGAAUUGCAUUUCAGACUGGGAAUCUAGAGUACUUUAGGGAGGGGUAGAAUUCCACGUGUAGCGGUGAAAUGCGUAGAGAUGUGGAGGAAUACCGAAGGCGAAGGCAGCCCCUUGGACGAAGACUGACGCUCAGGUGCGAAAGCGUGGGGAGCAAACAGG
rnacentral:rRNA from 1 species